rnacentral:rRNA from 1 species
GACGAACGCUGGCGGCGUGCCUAAUACAUGCAAGUCGAACGAGAGCGACCGGUGCUUGCACUGGUCAAUCUAGUGGCGAACGGGUGAGUAGCACGUGGGUAACCUGCCCAUCAGAGGGGGAUAACAUUCGGAAACGGAUGCUAAAACCGCAUAGGUCUUCGAACCGCAUGGUUUGAAGAGGAAAAGAGGCGCAAGCUUCUGCUGAUGGAUGGACCCGCGGUGCAUUAGCUAGUUGGUGAGGUAACGGCUCACCAAGGCCGUGAUGCAUAGCCGACCUGAGAGGGUGAUCGGCCACAUUGGGACUGAGACACGGCCCAAACUCCUACGGGAGGCAGCAGUAGGGAAUCUUCCGCAAUGGACGCAAGUCUGACGGAGCAACGCCGCGUGAGUGAAGAAGGUUUUCGGAUCGUAAAACUCUGUUGUUAGAGAAGAAUAAGUGCUAGAGUAACUGUUAGCGCCUUGACGGUAUCUAACCAGAAAGCCACGGCUAACUACGUG